CUGCAGUGCCGCAUCAAAAAGCGACUAAAAAUGGAAUCCUAGGGCCAUGUGAACAGCAAACUCUGCUCCUCAAAGCCUUGGAAAUGAAGCCCACCAGAAACCAGGCUCAGCUUUGGCCAGGAAGAUUUCAAAGUGAAUCCUGAAUGCCACUGGAAGAUGUAUAUGUGUCCGACAGCAUCCCUUGCUUCCCUGCUAUUCUGAAGCAAUAUCUAGCAGGAAGAAUACCCG
rnacentral:lncRNA from 1 species